ACGCGUGCUCGUCUCCAAGCACGCCAGCCGUUCUCCAUCCCAGGGACGCCGCCUCGCCUCCAUCCAUCGCCCCGCAGCUGCACCUCCUCGCCGUCAUCUGUGUCUUCAUCUUCGUCCGCUGCAGCCAAAGGUGCAAGCUUCCGCACUUGAUAAACCACGGCGAGCCUUCCUCGACGUGAAUCAAUCAGUAGCUUACUGGUUCGUUCCCUGUGCACUGUCGCACGUCAAGGAGAACAUGAGUUCAAUUCCCAGCGCAUGCAAUGCCUCUUAUUUUAAUCUUUUCUUUGCUUGUCCUGCUGACAGCCGGGCUGCUCUUUUUCUCUGGCGCGGCAGGCUUGAUCGAUCCGGUUCUCUGACUGGGGUUUGUGCUAAUUAACAUCAGCAACUUGAGUUGCCAUCUUGCUCGGGUGUGCAUGUACCCUGUUUUCCGGUGUCGUCGACCACCCCUCCGUCUCGCUGGAGUCCGACAAGAUCUUCCUGGCACCCACUAUUUACGACUUCCGCGGCAUCGGCUACUUCCUUUUCGCUUCGACAAUCUUUCUCCGAUGUGCAAUCAUUUGCUUCUUCCCGGAUAGGAUCACGAAGUGUUGAUGUGAGAAACGA